UAGUUUGUGUGCCAAAAAAAA
rnacentral:piRNA from 1 species